UUAACACACACACACAUCUCUAUUAAUAAUUUCUGAACAUUGAAUAUCAGAGUUUAUUCACCCCGUUACGUCCCCAAAGAACUGGGUACGUAUUCUAGUGAUUUCUUUACUAGCAUUGUUUGUGGUUCUUGUGUUUUUCUUCUUACAGGUAAGAUGGCUUCUGUAACCAUUCCAGCAGCUGAUUGGUGGUUCAACGACUGAUUGGAUCUUGGAACUCCUCCUACUCGUCAGUGGCUGCAGCUGGUUGGGCUCUUUAAAAAGCCUAGUUUUGGAUCUGUUCACUGUCUGCUCUCUGCUCCUGGUGUGGUUUGUGACCCUUUGUAGGGAACUUUCCCCAGAUAGCAAACUGACAUUGAAUCAAUGUGGAAACAUUGUGUUUUGCUCAUCGAAUUAACGUUGAACCAACGUCAGAUGUGCCAUUCUUCUGAUUUGGAUCUGAAAACAAGAUGACUCCACUUUCACCACUACUUUUUUACCAGGCUCCUCAGGUAGAUGGAGAUUCGGUGCAGAAGCUGAAGGUUUAAGUUCAAGGGAAGGUCUUCAGAGUGACUGAAGAGAGCAAAAUCAUGUUCAGACAUUACCUACCUUGACCUUCAUCCAAACAGACAAACCUAUUUACAAUCCAGGACAAACAGUACAAUGUGGUUGUGGUGGAGGACAAAGAUAAUAACCGGACUGGUCAGUGGACAAACGUUUCCUCAACGGGACUGAUAUUGCAGCUAUCUCACGAGUUAAACCCAGAGGCUCAGAUAGAUAUAGACAUGGCCAACCUGUACCUGGUCAAGCCUUAGUGGAAGUUUCGUGAUCCAAUUCCAUACAUUCUGCUUCAUAAUUUGACCAGACGGUGCCUGACUCAAACUGCAAAGAUGAAUGCCACGGGCUGUGCCUCUCUUACUGUUAUGUCAGUGUUUUUCAACACCAAAUUUGAAGAUGCAAGACAUGUUUCUUGUAAAUGUGAAUGUUACUGAGGAGGGAACAGAUGUAAUGGUAUCAAAAUCUGCAAUGGUGUUUGUAGUCUGCAAAGUCACAUUUGUGGAUCUCCUGGUUCCUUAUUUUGGAUCAAUGCUUAAUGGAAAGAUCCACGUGACUUGACAAAUAUCUCUUGGAGGGGAGCAACUGGCCUGACAAACUGCUGUUGAAUCCAACCAUAAACAAGAAUGGACAGGCUGUGUUCUCUGUAAACACUGCUAAUCUUAAGGCUGAUCUGAAUCUGGUAGUAAGACUUGUAUUUUGUAGAAAUUAAGACAUUCUCUAGCAUGAAACUGAUUAAGUUUGAUGUUCCAGAUGUCUGUCAGUGUUGAUAUGGCUCCAGCAGUGCAGAUUAUGGUCUACAGUGUUCUUCCUAGUGAGAAUGUAGUUGCUGCUAGUGUGCUGUUUGACACUGAUUUGUUUUUCCAGAACCAGGUACUGUAUGAUAUGGCUAUUUUUCAGGUGUCUCUGAAAGGUGUCUUUCCAGCUAUGGUUAUUCCUGUGGAGGGAAAUGUUCUAAUGGUUUCUGUUCAAGCUGGAUCUUUGUAGCCUCAGUGCUGUAGUCCAGAGUGUAUAGAUCAUGGAGCCAGGAACAUGUCAGUGGU